AGACCAGCAAUGGCUACUGCAUUCAUGUGCCCAAUGUUGAAUUGGAAGUGAAUGAGACCAAUAGGGAACACAAAAACAUCCCCCUUGUUUAGAACUUUGCUAAAGAGGCGGUUUUGAGGUUUGAGGGUUGGAUGUGACAAAGCCAACUAAGAGUGUUCCCUCCAAGACAGUGAGGAUCUCAGUGGCACGAGGGUGAGUGUGAGGAGGGUUUUGACCGUAGGGUGCAUAAUCGAUACGAACCAGUGAUAUCCCAAGAGUGUUAAGUCCUGGUAUUGCAUCAACAUUUACUGUAGUGACAUUUGAGCCCACUCGAUUUGUUGUGUUUCCUGGAAUAUUCAGCCCUUGAUAGAAGAAAUCCUCGGCCACAGUCAGGUUUGGGUUCUUGCAGAACUUUCCAUUUACAAAUACUGCAUUUAAAAAAAGGGAAAAGAAAAGAUAUAUCAUUAGUAUGAAACCACCAUCAAUGGAAAGAUUAAUGAAAGUAGUGAUAAGAUCAUUGGUUACUAAAGAAAUACCAGCAUUCUUGGGUUCAUCAAUGGCAACACAAGUGUCCUGCAGUGGGCUUGGAUCAGAGGCAGAGGCAAGAGAGGAUGCCAAUGCCAUGAGGGCAACAGCUACCAGAAGACUAACACCAUUCUUCAUUGUUAGAGUCCUGUCUUCAACAAUCACAAAUCUUUGUGUUGAGGUGCGGGGUGAGAAAUUUUGCAUGGAAAACAUGUCAAUUUAUAGACGGUCUUCAAUGGGUAGGUUUUCCUUUUUUAUCCUUUUCUUCACUUUCAAAGACAAGUGGUUACACCAGUACAUGCUAAUUUAUGUGGGAUUAGUUAGUUAGUUUAUUGAUCUUAGCUAGAAUAUUCUCUAUGCAUGUGUGGAAAGUGAGGGUCAAUUAGUGGAGGCAGGUCCAAUUUCAUAUCAAUCUGCAUGAUCCAUGCAUUUAUUUUAGUAUUAGUACCCAAACAGUGAAAUAUCUGUAAAGUAGUGUAUAGGCAAGCAACUAGAAGAUUACAGAGUAGGUGCAAGCCUGGACUAUAGAAAUAGAAUAACCUAACCAAUUCAAACCUGGUUACUCAAUGAGGCUUGUGUAGGUUCAGUUUAAAGAAUAUCUAUAUAGGAAUAUUAGUGAAUUUAUACUGCUUUAGUGUAAAUGUAAUGUGACUUACUUUCAUGAAAUAGUUGAUCUCUAUUAUGUAGCCAAGUUCUGAGUUUCUAGCUCAUGUGCCUUCCACUUUGUGAAAAAUCAUUGGAUAAGCUCUGGAUUGCUUUAGUUCAAUGAAACAUUGGGAUGAAUUCAAAGAUUUUCUGCUAUGCUCAUUAGGCUUUCCUCAGUUACAAAAGCUCUGACUAUAAUUUUGAUACUUGCAGCCUGCCAUAUCUGAGCAAUUGGCUCUAAACAUGAGUGAAAUAGCUGCAUGACAAACACCUUUGAACUAGGGCAUUCUUAACUAGUUGUUAAGUUGUCUUAAAGAAUAACAAUCUGUGUUUUCUGGGGAGAAGCAAGAAACCCUGUAUUGGAAAAAUGGCAAUUAAUUAGAUAAAUUCAUCGGAUUAGUCUAUGUUUUAUACAUAAGGUAAGCAGAUACACUUUCCAAGUCUUCAAUGGAUGGCAUUUUUUAAAUUUAAAGGUUGAACCAUUCUUCAACAACUACACCCCUUGCUCAUCCUUUUUCCCUCAACUCAUGGUCUGGACUUUAGAGUGGACUCUGCGUAAUGUUUGGGUUUCAGGACUAAUUCCAGGGUAGAGCUAAGGAGUAAACCUGUGGACAGGCCAUCUAUAAUCAGUUUGUGAUUAGUGUCAUGACCCAUUAGUCUUUUAUAAGUUGAGGUCAGAAGCUUGUUGCAUGAAUUGAAAUCUACUUUCUUCCCACUUGUUUUCAGAAUGGAGUACAUGACAAAAACAUCAGAUAAAAAUCAAAACUCACAUUAAACUUAUAAAUAAUUGGUCUUGUCUACAGUAGAUGUCAUAAGAUUUCUGGGUUUUCAUUUCCUUUCUUUCUUCACAAUUUUCAUGACACUUAUGCUUCUCCCACCAUUCAAAUGGUUUACUUGGACAUCUUAAUUAGUUUCUUCGAUCUCGGUUGAUGAGUUAUAAUGGGAAAAUAUAGAGAAGCAAAAUGGCAUCUUUUUUAUUUUUGAAUUCUCUGCAGUUGUUGCCUCAAUGUUCAUUUCUUCAUCACCAAUUCUGCCAGCAGUAUGCUGGAAGUAACAGUAGUACUGUUUUACAACUAGCUAAGUAUUCCUUCUUAAUAAAAAUUCUGCACAUGCAGGUUAAUCAAUCAACUGAGAGUUGUUAUCCAGUUGUUUUUUCACAAGAUAAAAUUUUUUAAGACAAAUAUUGAGAUGGAGACAGAGAAGAAGAUGCCUAACAGACAAACUGCUUUAUUUUAAUAUUAGGACCAAAGUCCACAACACAAGAGCUACAAAAGAAAGUAAUAAACCCUCUUAUUCUAGGAUGAUUGUAAUGAGGUAAAUGAACAUCACAAAUAGUCAUUCAAGCAAGCAAAUCAAAGGUUCAUAGCUUCUUCAUUUUCUCUAUUUCCCCACUAGAAUCGUGCUUGAAGGAAUUCAACCACCUUCUUGUCCAACUGGAAGGCCUUUGCCAGGAAAUCAGGAUUGAUUGGUGGAUUGGAUCCAAACACUGCAUUGGCUAUGGUGAUUACACCUGGAUUUUGGCUGCUCAGACCAGCAAUGGCUACUGCAUUCAUGUGCCCAAUAUUGAAUUGGAAGUGAAUGAGACCAAUAGGGAACACAAAAACAUCACCCUUGUUGAGGACUUUGCUAAAGAGGCGGUUUUGAGGGUUGGAUGUGACAAAGCCAACUAAGAGAGUUCCCUCCAAGACAGUGAGGAUCUCAGUGGCACGAGGGUGAGUGUGAGGAGGGUUUUGACCAUAGGGUGCAUAAUCGAUACGAACCAGUGAUAUCCCAAGAGUGUUCAGUCCUGGUAUCACAUCAACAUUUACUGUAGUGACACUUGAGCCCACUAGAUUUGAUGUGUUUCCUGGAAUAUUCAGCCCUUUAGAGAAGAAAUCCUCGGCGACGGUCAG
rnacentral:lncRNA from 1 species